rnacentral:tRNA from 1 species
AGGUAUUUAAUCUAAUUUAAGAUAGUUGAUUUCGACUCAACAAAUCAUGGUUUUAAUCCAUGAACACCUU